rnacentral:rRNA from 1 species
GACGAACGCUGGCGGCGUGCUUAACACAUGCAAGUCGAACGGAAAGGCCCUGCUUUUGUGGGGUGCUCGAGUGGCGAACGGGUGAGUAACACGUGAGUAACCUGCCCUUGACUUUGGGAUAACUUCAGGAAACUGGGGCUAAUACCGGAUAGGAGCUCCUGCUGCAUGGUGGGGGUUGGAAAGUUUCGGCGGUUGGGGAUGGACUCGCGGCUUAUCAGCUUGUUGGUGGGGUAGUGGCUUACCAAGGCUUUGACGGGUAGCCGGCCUGAGAGGGUGACCGGCCACAUUGGGACUGAGAUACGGCCCAGACUCCUACGGGAGGCAGCAGUGGGGAAUAUUGCACAAUGGGCGGAAGCCUGAUGCAGCAACGCCGCGUGCGGGAUGACGGCCUUCGGGUUGUAAACCGCUUUCGCCUGUGACGAAGCGUGAGUGACGGUAAUGGGUAAAGAAGCACCGGCUAACUACGUGCCAGCAGCCGCGGUGAUACGUAGGGUGCGAGCGUUGUCCGGAUUUAUUGGGCGUAAAGGGCUCGUAGGUGGUUGAUCGCGUCGGAAGUGUAAUCUAGGGGCUUAACCCUGAGCGUGCUUUCGAUACGGGUUGACUUGAGGAAGGUAGGGGAGAAUGGAAUUCCUGGUGGAGCGGUGGAAUGCGCAGAUAUCAGGAGGAACACCAGUGGCGAAGGCGGUUCUCUGGGCCUUUCCUGACGCUGAGGAGCGAAAGCGUGGGGAGCGAACAGGCUUAGAUACCCUGGUAGUCCACGCUGUAAACGGUGGGUACUAGGUGUGGGGUCCAUUCCACGGGUUCCGUGCCGUAGCUAACGCUUUAAGUACCCCGCCUGGGGAGUACGGCCGCAAGGCUAAAACUCAAAGGAAUUGACGGGGCCCCGCACAAGCGGCGGAGCAUGCGGAUUAAUUCGAUGCAACGCGUAGAACCUUACCUGGGUUUGACAUGGAUCGGGAGUGCUCAGAGAUGGGUGUGCCUCUUUUGGGGUCGGUUCACAGGUGGUGCAUGGCUGUCGUCAGCUCGUGUCGUGAGAUGUUGGGUUAAGUCCCGCAACGAGCGCAACCCUUGUUCACUGUUGCCAGCACGUUAUGGUGGGGACUCAGUGGAGACCGCCGGGGUCAACUCGGAGGAAGGUGGGGAUGACGUCAAGUCAUCAUGCCCCUUAUGUCCAGGGCUUCACGCAUGCUACAAUGGCUGGUACAGAGAGUGGCGAGCCUGUGAGGGUGAGCGAAUCUCGGAAAGCCGGUCUCAGUUCGGAUUGGGGUCUGCAACUCGACCUCAUGAAGUCGGAGUCGCUAGUAAUCGCAGAUCAGCAACGCUGCGGUGAAUACGUUCCCGGGGCU